ensembl:lncRNA
AAGAAAUGGAAAAAAUGAUCAUGUUAACGGGUUUCAGAGUACUCUCUUAAAUUCAUUGAGCUGGAUGAGAACUUCAAGAGAUCCAUCGAGUUCAGGAUGAUCCAGGAUUAAAGAAAGCAUGUACAUUGCAGAGAGGGAGCACAAGUAAAGCCUAGCUAGAAUGGAGCACACAUUCUUCAGUGAAAAAGGUGUGAAAAGCCUAACUGAGCUAUAGAGAGGGGGGCGAGAGGAACAGUGAAGACUGUGUUCGCUGCAGUUUCACCUAGAGGAGGAGGCAGAGCAGAGGAUCGCCCAACUGGAUGAGAGGGCCCACAAUGAAGCCGUUGUUGUACAUCACCUAAGCCAGUGAUGACAUCCCAAGCAGUUCCAGAAUGCCUUGCAGGGUUGCAGGGAAGAGGGUCCUGGUUUGGAACAGUGGGGAAGACCUCUCUGUGUACUGUAUAGUUCGAAAGCCAUCUGAGGACAGACUAGGUACUAUAUAUACACUUUGAAGUUGGUGUUCUUUUAUAGUCCAUAAAUGAUCUUCAACACUGAUACUGUAUUGCCAGUUCUAUAUUGUAUUGCCAGUUCUAUAUUGUAUUGCCAGUUCUAUAUUGUAUUGCCAGUUCUAUACUUCAGUUCUUGGUGAUUUAUAUUGUAGAAAUAAAUGUAACCUGCGUUUUCAGACCAAUUUGGUGACUUAAGGCAAAUUAAAACCAAAUCUUCCCCAGCAUUCUAAGCUUGGAAUUUGAUGUCACUCAAUUCUCUCUACUACAUCACCAAACCCAGCACACCACCUUUAUGCCAUUUAUACCUUAGAGAGAGUUUGGCACAUGAAAGGUAAAACUGUCAGUCAGCGAGACAACGCAUCGCGCUUCAUGUUCAACAACAACUUUGGUAGCCUAGUGCGUGGCUGAGACUAAGUGGAGAACCUGAGGAAGAUGACUGUCAUUGGCUGAGGAAAACGCCUCCCUGGCACUGCAUAAGGUACACCAGCCCCAAUGGCGCCACAAACAGAACUGUAGGCAUUCAUCAUCUCAAUACCAUCUCAAUAACUUGUCUUUAAAUUGUUAAACACGUGGCAGAUCUCCAGAGGACAUAUUUCAGAUGGUAUUUCCCAUUUUAUUUAUAUUUGCUGACCCCAUGUUUGUUUUGCUUGCGGCCCCUCAUACCCCUCACCUCCAGUGUGAGCUGGUGGCUGGUGGUUGUGGCAAGUUUCCACUGGCUUCUGGGUUCCAAGUCAGUGGCUUCCCCCCUCAGUAUUUUCAGGGCACUGUUUCUCUGAAGCAAAUACCAUAAUCUCACCCAUUAUUUCGAUAAAGCGAGGACAGAAUGAAGUCACCCCAGCUCAGUCCUUCUUCCAUGCUCCAGCCUCCUUCCAUUCCCUUCCAUGCUCCAUUCAUUCCCUUCCACGCUCCAUCCAUUUCCUUCCACGCUCCAUCCAUUUCCUUCCACGCUCCACCAUCCAUCGAUUCCCUUCCAUGCUCAACCCUCCUUCCAUUUCCUUCCAUGCUCAAACCUCCUUCCAUUUGGCAAUUAAGCCCCCCACCAAAACAUUAUUCAUUCAUCAACAUGCCAUUUAGUGGCUUUAAUUAACUACAUUACCUUGGAGAAAGCCAUAUGUAUAUUGUCAUGAUGAUUGCAACCAUAUUUUAA